UGGGGAAUUUUGGACAAUGGGCGAAAGCCUGAUCCAGCAAUGCCGCGUGUGUGAAGAAGGCCUUCGGGUUGUAAAGCACUUUUGUCCGGAAAGAAAUCCUUGGCUCUAAUACAGUCGGGGGAUGACGGUACCGGAAGAAUAAGCACCGGCUAACUACGUGCCAGCAGCCGCGGUAAUACGUAGGGUGCAAGCGUUAAUCGGAAUUACUGGGCGUAAAGCGUGCGCAGGCGGUUUGCUAAGACCGAUGUGAAAUCCCCGGGCUCAACCUGGGAACUGCAUUGGUGACUGGCAGGCUAGAGUAUGGCAGAGGGGGGUAGAAUUCCACGUGUAGCAGUGAAAUGCGUAGAGAUGUGGAGGAAUACCGAUGGCGAAGGCAGCCCCCUGGGCCAAUACUGACGCUCAUGCACGAAAGCGUGGGGAGCAAACAGGAUUAGAUACCCUGGUAGUCCACGCCCUAAACGAUGUCAACUAGUUGUUGGGGAUUCAUUUCCUUAGGAACGUAGCUAACGCGUGAAGUUGACCGCCUGGGGAGUACGGUCGCAAGAUUAAAACUUAAAUGAAUUGACGGGGUC
rnacentral:rRNA from 1 species